rnacentral:rRNA from 1 species
UACAGAGGUCUCAACCGUUGUUCGGAUUCAUUGGGCGUAAAGGGUGCGUAGGCGGUCGCGCAAGUCGGAUGUGAAAUCUCAGGGCUCAACCCUGAAACUGCAUUCGAUACUGCGUGGCUAGAGUGCUGGAGAGGAGACUGGAAUUUACGGUGUAGCAGUGAAAUGCGUAGAUAUCGUAAGGAAGACCAGUGGCGAAGGCGAGUCUCUGGACAGCAACUGACGCUGAGAAGCGAAAGCAUGGGGAGCGAACAGG